ACCAGGCCAGUGAUACAUCAAAGACAAUCGGAACCAGUCAGGAAAGCUGGGCCUCAGAGGGUGAUAGCCCCGUACGAGUAAUGCGAUGAUGUAUCCACGAGUAGGGCGGGACACGUGAAAUCCUGUCUGAACAUGGGGGGACCACCCUCCAAGCCUAAGUACUCCUCAGCGACCGAUAGUGAACCAGUACCGUGAGGGAAAGGUGAAAAGCACCCCGACGAGGGGAGUGAAAUAGACCUGAAACCGGACACCUACAAACAGACGGAGCCCAAGAUACGUUCUGGGUGACGUCGUACCUUUUGUAUAAUGGGUCAACGACUUAGUGUAACUAGCAAGCUUAAGCCGGUAGGUGUAGGCGCAGCGAAAGCGAGUCUGAAUAGGGCGUUCAGUUCGUGGCUUUAGACCCGAAACCGAGUGAUCUAGCCAUGUGCAGGAUGAAGGUGGGGUAACACUCACUGGAGGUCCGAACCAGUGCCCGUUGAAAAGGUCUUGGAUGACUUGUGGCUAGGGGUGAAAGGCCAAUCAAACUCGGAAAUAGCUGGUUCUCCGCGAAAUAUAUUUAGGUAUCGCCUCGCAUGAAUACCCUGGGGGGUAGAGCACUGGAUGGGCUAGGGCCGCCCACAGCGGUACCAAACCCAACCAAACUCCGAAUACGCACGAGUACUGCUCGGGAGACACACGGCGGGUGCUAACGUCCGUCGUGGAGAGGGAAACAACCCUGACCUACAGCUAAGGCCCCCAAUUCGUGGCUAAGUGGGAAAGGAUGUGGGAAUCCCAAAACAACCAGGAGGUUGGCUUAGAAGCAGCCAUCCUUUAAAGAAAGCGUAACAGCUCACUGGUCUAAAUAAGGGUUCCUGCGCCGAAAAUGUAACGGGGCUCAAGCCACGAGCCGAAGCUUCGGAUUCACUUCGCAAGAGGUGAGUGGUAGCGGAGCGUUCCCUAGGCUGAUGAAGGAAGACUCGUGAGAGCUUCUGGAGGUAUGGGAAGUGCGAAUGCUGACAUGAGUAACGACAAAGAGUGUGAAAGACACUCUCGCCGAAAGUCCAAGGGUUCCUGCGUAAAGUUAAUCUGCGCAGGGUUAGCCGGCCCCUAAGGCGAGGCCGAAAGGCGUAGUCGAUGGGAACGGGGCAAAUAUUCCCCAGCCAGCGGGUGGUGACGGAUGCCGUAUAUCGUUCAACCUUAUCGGAUUGGUUGGGCGGUGAAGGGGUCCCAGGAAAGAGCCUCCACGUGAGACCGUACCCGA
rnacentral:rRNA from 1 species